UACGAAGGGGGCUAGCGUUGCUCGGAAUUACUGGGCGUAAAGGGAGCGUAGGCGGACAUUUAAGUCAAAAAUGAAAUCCCAAAACUCAACCUCGGAAUUGCCUUUGAUACUGGGUGUCUUGAGUGUGAGAGAGGUAUGUGGAACUCCGAGUGUAGAGGUGAAAUUCGUAGAUAUUCGGAAGAACACCAGUGGCGAAGGCGACAUACUGGCUCAUUACUGACGCUGAGGCUCGAAAGCAUGGGGAGCAAACAGG
rnacentral:rRNA from 1 species